rnacentral:rRNA from 1 species
UACGAAGGGGGCUAGCGUUGCUCGGAAUCACUGGGCGUAAAGCGCACGUUAGGCGGAUCUUUAAGUCAGGGGUGAAAUCCUGGAGCUCAACUCCAGAACUGCCUUUGAUACUGGGGAUCUCGAGUCCGGAAGAGGUGAGUGGAACUCCGAGUGUAGAGGUGAAAUUCGUAGAUAUUCGGAAGAACACCAGUGGCGAAGGCGGCUCACUGGUCCGGUACUGACGCUGAGGUGCGAAAGCGUGGGAGCAAACAGG